GACGAACGCUGGCGGCGUGCUUAACACAUGCAAGUCGAACGAAGUGGCGAACGGGUGAGUAACGCGUAAUCAACCUGCCCUUCAGAGGGGGACAACAGUUGGAAACGACUGCUAAUACCCCAUACUGAAGGGGGGGAAUGCGUCUGAUUAGCUCGUUGGGGGGGUAACGGCCCACCAAGGCGAAGAUCAGUAGCCGGUCUGGGAGGAUGGACGGCCACAUUGGGAAUGGGACACGGCCCAGACCCCUACGGGAGGCAGCAGUGGGGAAUCUUCCGCAAUGGGCGAAAGUCUGACGGAGCAAAGCCGCGGGAGAGAUGACGGGCUUCGGGUUGUAAAGCUCUGUUAAUCGGGACGCGGUACCGGAAUAGAAAGCCACGGCUAACUACGUGCCAGCAGCCGCGGUAAUAC
rnacentral:rRNA from 1 species